rnacentral:rRNA from 1 species
UAAAGAAUUUCGGUUAUCGAUGGGGAUGCGUUCCAUUAGUUAGUUGGCGGGGUAACGGCCCACCAAGACGACGAUGGAUAGGGGUUCUGAGAGGAAGGUCCCCCACAUUGGAACUGAGACACGGUCCAAACUCCUACGGGAGGCAGCAGUGAGGAAUAUUGGUCAAUGGACGAGAGUCUGAACCAGCCAAGUAGCGUGAAGGAUGACUGCCCUAUGGGUUGUAAACUUCUUUUAUAUGGGAAUAAAACAGGGUAUGCAUACCCUCUUGUAUGUACCAUAUGAAUAAGGAUCGGCUAACUCCGUGCCAGCAGCCGCGGUAAUACGGAGGAUCCGAGCGUUAUCCGGAUUUAUUGGGUUUAAAGGGAGCGUAGGUGGAUUGUUAAGUCAGUUGUGAAAGUUUGCGGCUCAACCGUAAAAUUGCAGUUGAAACUGGCAGUCUUGAGUACAGUAGAGGUGGGCGGAAUUCGUGGUGUAGCGGUGAAAUGCUUAGAUAUCACGAAGAACUCCGAUUGCGAAGGCAGCUCACUGGACUGCAACUGACACUGAUGCUCGAAAGUGUGGGUAUCAAACAGGAUUAGAUACCCUGGUAGUCCACACA